rnacentral:rRNA from 1 species
CACGUAGGGCGCAAGCGUUGUCCGGAAUUAUUGGGCGUAAAGCGCUCGCAGGUGGUUCGUCGCGUCGUGCGUGAAAGACCCCGGCUCAACUGGGGGAGGUCGUGCGAUACGGGCGGACUGGAGGCCAGUAGGGGGAUGCGGAAUUCCGGGUGUAGUGGUGGAAUGCGUAGAGAUCCGGAGGAACACCAGCGGCGAAGGCGGCAUCCUGGACUGGUCCUGACACUCAUGAGCGAAAGCGUGGGGAGCGAUCCGG